UAUUUACAGGCUUAACACAUGCAAGUCGAGGGGCAGCAUGGUCUUAGCUUGCUAAGGCCGAUGGCGACCGGCGCACGGGUGAGUAACGCGUAUCCAACCUGCCUUACACUCUUGGACAGCCUUCUGAAAGGGAGAUUAAUACAAGAUGUUAUCAUGAGUAAGCAUUUUCGCAUGAUUAAAGGUUUACCGGUGUAAGAUGGGGAUGCGUUCCAUUAGAUAGUAGGCGGGGUAACGGCCCACCUAGUCUUCGAUGGAUAGGGGUUCUGAGAGGAAGGUCCCCCACAUUGGAACUGAGACACGGUCUAAACUCCUACGGGAGGCAGCAGUGAGGAAUAUUGGUCAAUGGACGAGAGUCUGAACCAGCCAAGUAGCGUGAAGGAUGAAGGUUCUAUGGAUUGUAAACUUCUUUUAUACGGGAAUAAACGGAUCCACGUGUGGAUUUUUGCAUGUACCGUAUGAAUAAGGAUCGGCUAACUCCGUGCCAGCAGCCGCGGUAAUACGGAGGAUCCGAGCGUUAUCCGGAUUUAUUGGGUUUAAAGGGAGCGUAGAUGGGUUGUUAAGUCAGUUGUGAAAGUUUGCGGCUCAACCGUAAAAUUGCAAUUGAUACUGGCAGUCUUGAGUACAGUUGAGGUAGGCGGAAUUCGUGGUGUAGCGGUGAAAUGCUUAGAUAUCACGAAGAACUCCGAUUGCGAAGGCAGCUUACUAACCUGUAACUGACAUUGAUGCUCGAAAGUGUGGGUAUCAAACAGGAUUAGAUACCCUGGUAGUCCACACGGUAAACGAUGAAUACUCGCUGUAGGCGAUAUACAGUCUGCGGCCAAGCGAAAGCAUUAAGUAUUCCACCUGGGGAGUACGCCGGCAACGGUGAAACUCAAAGGAAUUGACGGGGGCCCGCACAAGCGGAGGAACAUGUGGUUUAAUUCGAUGAUACGCGAGGAACCUUACCCGGGCUUAAAUUGCAACCGAAUAUGGCGGAAACGCUAUAGCUAGCAAUAGCGGUUGUGAAGGUGCUGCAUGGUUGUCGUCAGCUCGUGCCGUGAGGUGUCGGCUUAAGUGCCAUAACGAGCGCAACCCUUGCCGAUAGUUACUAACAGGUCAUGCUGAGGACUCUGUCGGGACUGCCAUCGUAAGAUGUGAGGAAGGUGGGGAUGACGUCAAAUCAGCACGGCCCUUACGUCCGGGGCUACACACGUGUUACAAUGGGGGGUACAGAGGGCUGCUACCACGCAAGUGGAUGCCAAUCCCAAAAACCUCUCUCAGUUCGGAUUGAAGUCUGCAACCCGACUUCAUGAAGCUGGAUUCGCUAGUAAUCGCGCAUCAGCCACGGCGCGGUGAAUACGUUCCCGGGCCUUGUACACACCGCCCGUCAAGCCAUGGGAGCCGGGGGUACCUGAAGUGCGUAACCGCAAGGAGCGCCCUAGGGUAAAACUGGUGACU
rnacentral:rRNA from 1 species